rnacentral:lncRNA from 1 species
UUUUUUGUUAAUUUGAUUAUUUAUUUACAAAAUGGGUAUUUGUUUAAAAAGUGCUGCUAUCCAACUGUUGUAAUCGUCCAAUCAAGAUCAUUAAAAUAAGCAUUUUGUUUAAUCCUGCAUUGAUUCGAAAAAUAAUGUUUUGAUUCAAGUUACCUCCCCUUUUCAGGUCAGGCAGCACUAUUUAGUACUGGUCACAUUCAAGGCAGGGAUACAGUGACAAGUAGAUAAUUACUACUUUACUUUAUCAGUAUUUUGUUCUA